ensembl:lncRNA
GAGAAGUCAAAAUGCAAAUCACCUAGCACUCGUUUUCUGUAGACAAAAGGUGCAGAAGAACAAGCGUAUCGCUGCGUAUCGCUCUUUACUACAGCAUCGACCAUACCACUCCUCAGCUACGACUAGAUGAUGAGGGAGCACCUCCUACCUCUUAUCUAAGCACGAGUCAGCGGGUUGACAUCAGUGAGAAUCGUACUUGAGCGUGGGCAAAGAAGACAGAUCGGCUGCGUGACCGAACCCUUCCCCAUAUGGUAAUGUGAAUGGAGGCCUGCGAGCGGAAGCGCUGGAUGUAGGCUACCCUCUCUGCCUGGAAUUGGAGGUGUAAGCAUGUAAACAUCUCCCGUGUUAGACCACGCCAAUCCCACGGUUCAAUCAAACGAUUGUAACAACUGAACAGGAAAGCCACAGAUUGAACCAAGUCAUGGAGAAUCAAAC